GCCAGAGUGGUGUAGUGGUUUGAGCACUGGACUAUGACUCUGGAGAACAGAGUUCUAAUCCCCACUCAGUCA